rnacentral:rRNA from 2 species
AAUCCAUAGGUUAAUGAGGCGAACCGGGGGAACUGAAACAUCUAAGUACCCCGAGGAAAAGAAAUCAACCGAGAUUCCCCCAGUAGCGGCGAGCGAACGGGGAGGAGCCCAGAGCCUGAAUCAGCAUGUGUGUUAGUGGAAGCGUCUGGAAAGGCGCGCGAUACAGGGUGACAGCCCCGUACACAAAAGCGCAUGUGCUGUGAGCUCGAUGAGUAGGGCGGGACACGUGGUAUCCUGUCUGAAUAUGGGGGGACCAUCCUCCAAGGCUAAAUACUCCUGACUGACCGAUAGUGAACCAGUACCGUGAGGGAAAGGCGAAAAGAACCCCGGCGAGGGGAGUGAAAAAGAACCUGAAACCGUGUACGUACAAGCAGUGGGAGCACCCUUUGGGGUGUGACUGCGUACCUUUUGUAUAAUGGGUCAGCGACUUAUAUUCUGUAGCAAGGUUAACCGUAUAGGGGAGCCGGAGGGAAACCGAGUCUUAACCGGGCGUUAAGUUGCAGGGUAUAGACCCGAAACCCGGUGAUCUAGCCAUGGGCAGGUUGAAGGUUGGGUAACACUAACUGGAGGACCGAACCGACUAAUGUUGAAAAAUUAGCGGAUGACCUGUGGCUGGGGGUGAAAGGCCAAUCAAACCGGGAGAUAGCUGGUUCUCCCCGAAAGCUAUUUAGGUAGCGCCUCGUGAAUUCAUCUCCGGGGGUAGAGCACUGUUUCGGCUAGGGGGCCAUCCCGGCUUACCAACCCGAUGCAAACUGCGAAUACCGGAGAAUGUUAUCACGGGAGACACACGGCGGGUGCUAACGUCCGUCGUGAAGAGGGAAACAACCCAGACCGCCAGCUAAGGUCCCAAAGUCAUGGUUAAGUGGGAAACGAUGUGGGAAGGCCCAGACAGCCAGGAUGUUGGCUUAGAAGCAGCCAUCAUUUAAAGAAAGCGUAAUAGCUCACUGGUCGAGUCGGCCUGCGCGGAAGAUGUAACGGGGCUAAACCAUGCACCGAAGCUGCGGCAGCGACGCUGAUGCGUUGUUGGGUAGGGGAGCGUUCUGUAAGCCUGCGAAGGUGGCCUGUGAGGGUUGCUGGAGGUAUCAGAAGUGCGAAUGCUGACAUAAGUAACGAUAAAGCGGGUGAAAAGCCCGCUCGCCGGAAGACCAAGGGUUCCUGUCCAACGUUAAUCGGGGCAGGGUGAGUCGACCCCUAAGGCGAGGCCGAAAGGCGUAGUCGAUGGGAAACGGGUUAAUAUUCCCGUACUUGGUGUUACUGCGAAGGGGGGACGGAGAAGGCUAUGUUGGCCGGGCGACGGUUGUCCCGGUUUAAGCGUGUAGGUGUGUGUUCCAGGUAAAUCCGGUUCACUUUAACACUGAGGCGUGAUGACGAGGCACUACGGUGCUGAAGCAACAAAUGCCCUGCUUCCAGGAAAAGCCUCUAAGCAUCAGGUAACAUCAAAUCGUACCCCAAACCGACACAGGUGGUCAGGUAGAGAAUACCAAGGCGCUUGAGAGAACUCGGGUGAAGGAACUAGGCAAAAUGGUGCCGUAACUUCGGGAGAAGGCACGCUGACA